AUGCGCAGUAUGCGUGCUCUGCAGCACAUUCUGUAGUUAACAUUUAGCUUCUGUCUGAAAUUCAGAACCAGUUCGGAACCAGUUCAGAACAAGGUCAGAACCCCGCCUGUGUAUUCAGUGCAGGACAGAGCGGGACACAGUGGCUGCAGGACGGAAGGACUUGCUCACAACAUGGCAACGGAGGAGAAGAAACCUGAGACAGAAAACUUAAAGCAGUCCUCCUCAGGAUCCAGCAGCAAGUCUAACACGGCCAAACCGAACUACACAGUGAAGUUUACUCUGGCCGGACACACCAAGGCUGUCUCAUCUGUCAAAUUCAGCCCCAACGGAGAGUGGCUGGCCAGCUCCUCGGCCGAUAAGCUGAUAAAGAUUUGGGGAGCGUUCGACGGAAAGUUUGAGAAAUCCAUCGUCGGACACAAACUGGGAAUCUCCGAUGUCUCCUGGUCUUCAGACUCCAAUCUGCUGGUUUCUGCAUCUGACGACAAAACACUCAAGAUCUGGGACAGCAGCUCUGGGAAGUGUCUAAAGACCCUGAAGGGACAUAGUAACUACGUCUUCUGCUGCAACUUCAACCCUCAGUCCAACCUGGUGGUGUCUGGAUCGUUUGAUGAGAGCGUUCGCAUCUGGGACGUGAAGACGGGAAAAUGUCUGAAGACUCUGCCAGCUCACUCCGACCCCGUCUCUGCUGUCCACUUCAACAGAGACGGCUCGCUCAUCGUCUCCAGCAGCUACGACGGCCUCUGCCGUAUCUGGGACACGGCGUCCGGACAGUGUCUGAAGACCCUGAUAGAUGAUGACAAUCCCCCGGUGUCUUUUGUUAAAUUUUCUCCCAACGGAAAAUACAUCCUGGCUGCUACUCUGGACAACACACUAAAGCUCUGGGACUACAGCAAAGGAAAGUGUCUGAAGACAUAUAACGGACACAAGAACGAGAAAUACUGCAUCUUCGCCAACUUCUCCGUCACAGGAGGGAAGGUGCAGUCACUUUAGCCUUUAACUCCCCCAACAGCACACUGCAAUGUUACUCAAGUUAAAGGAAUUCAGUCCAAUCCGAACAUCCCGAAGUGGAUCGUGUCGGGAUCCGAGGACAGUUUGGUUUACAUCUGGAACCUGCAGACCAAAGAGAUCGUUCAGAAGCUGCAGGGACACACAGACGUGGUGAUCUCCACUGCCUGUCACCCGACAGAAAACAUCAUCGCUUCAGCUGCGCUGGAAAACGACAAAACCAUCAAACUGUGGAGGAGUGACUGUUAGACUGAUCCAGACCCUGAUCCAGAACCAGAAACAGAACACAUUAUUACUGAGAUCCACAGAAACUGUCCCGUCUUCCCGUUAAAACUGAAGGACGAGUUCAGUGUUUUUGUAACGGAGAGCAGCGACGGAGGUUCAUCAGAUUAAAAAAAAUACAUUGUUCAACAUCGAAGUUAUUAAUUGACCAGGAAAGACUGAGCAAAGUAAAAUGCCAACCUGCCACUUUAGUCUUAGAAAAUGUCAUCUUUUUUCAGGAUAAUUUACACAUUUAGAUUCUUAGAGAAGUUCAUUAUUUUUCCCUCUCCGGCUCCGACAGGAUUCUCUUAGGGCUUUUAUUCCUGAUCGUUUUCCUUUGUUUCUGAUCAUCGGGAAGCUCUUUAAAUAAUCACACCAAGAGAGGAAGAGGAUUUUAUUUUUAAAUUGUUCUUUUGUAUGUGAUUGUAUUGUAGUGAAGAUCUUUCCCUCUUGAAAGACUUUGGUGUGAAACUCAAACCAGUAAAGGAUGAUUCUGUUGGUGAAUGCAGAUAUAUUUUAAGACAGUUUCAAUAUGUUGGUCAGUGAAUGCACCACGCGCGUUAGUGAAGACUUUAUGAAGCACAGAGACCCUUAAUGUUUGAUUUCUAAGAACCGAAACUUAAAGUUCAUCCCAAAAGAAUGUUUGAAGGAGUCUGUGGUGGAAAACUGUGACGGAGUUUGUUUAGUUUUUUAUAAAUAUAAUGUCUGAUCCUUUUUCUCUGAUGAUUGUCCUCUUAUUUAAUGGCUCUAUAGACCGGGAUAAAACACUGAACUGGCCCUUUAGUUAAAAUAAUUUAAAAAAUAUAAAACACUGAGAGACUGCAGCUGUGUGGCGUUCACUGACUCUCUGAGUUGUGGGAACAAACCGUUUCUUUCUGUUCUAUUCAGUUAUUUGUAAAUAAAGAUUUUUGAUUAUGA